rnacentral:rRNA from 1 species
AGAACCCUUGCCUUUGAGUACCUUCUCGUUUCCUCGGUGGGUUCGCCCGCCGGUGGACAACCAUAAAACUCUUUGUAAUAGCAGUAUCCUCUGACAAAAACAAAUAGUCAAAACUUUCAACAACGGAUCUCUUGGUUCUGGCAUCGAUGAAGAACGCAGCGAAAUGCGAUAAGUAGUGUGAAUUGCAGAAUUCAGUGAAUCAUCGAAUCUUUGAACGCACAUUGCGCCCUUCGGUAUUCCGUUGGGCAUGCCUGUUCGAGCGUCAUUUAAACGUUCAAGCUCAGCUUGGUGUUGGGUGCUUGUCCCCCCCCCGCGGCGGACUCACCUCAAAUGCAUUGGCGGCCGGCAUGUUGGCUUCGAGCGCAGUAGAAACGCGCCAGACGUCCCGACAUGCUGGUCCCCCACAAGGCCAUUCUUUUAGCUUGACCUCGGAUCAGGUAGGGAUACCCGCUGAACUUAAGCAUAUCAAU